AGUCUAUCUUGAAUAUUUCGUCAAAUUGAAGGGACUCAUCAUUUAAUACUAAACCAAGAUUAAAUGGAAUAUGAAAAUAAAUUUCAUAUAUGAUAAAUGUUCAACCCCAAUGUUUUACAACCAUGGGCCUCAAACCCAUCUUUAAAACAGUUCAUGGAAUUCAAAGCUAUGCUUGAUUUCCAGUGCUACAACGUGAGUGUUGCUUCUCACUUGUUGCAUAGGUUUAGUUAUCAUGCUUUACCAAUCUUAAUAUCCUUUUCAUCGAAUGUUCUUCGAGAUAUGAUGAUAAGAUCUUUUGAGUAUGUUUAUUUUGUGAUCUAGUCUUUCUUGCUACAUUAGUGGUUCUACGCAUUUUGCAAUGAAGAACCAUUAAGUCAACAGACAUGUGAUCUUCCCAAGUUCAAUGAAGAACUCAUUAAUAUAAACAACUCUGUUUUAUUGCUUCUUAGGCAAUAAGUACUUUUACUUCAACUGUUUAGGUUGCUAGUGAUGCUUUGUUUGGAUUUACUUAUCCAAGCAGUUCACAGAUAUGUGGAAGACUUUCCAGCUGUAUCUUUGGAACAUAGAAAUUAAUAUUUUAAUUUCCCACGCAACAACUCAUGGUCUCCAACCCAUGUUGCUAUUUCAAAACACGAUGCUCUAUAGCUCGUCCUUAUCAAUGGUUAACUCGAAAGGGUCUUGCUUGAUCUUUUGCCAGUGUUUAUGCAUGUAGCAUCAAUAUGUAGCAUAUCUUUAUUUCCUUGAAUCAAGAACUAUUCCUAUGUACUUUUUCAAGUACCAUAAGUAUUCUUGAUCUCAAUCUAGUUGAUCUUCACUUAGAUCAAUAGAGAUUGGUAUAUGUUCGUCAUGCCUAAAGUCAUACGAUACGUUUUUGGCGAUCCUCAUAUUAUAUCAUACAUGAUAAAUUCUUUUGCAGAAUAAUUCUCAAUUGAAUUCUAUUCAUGUAACUUUAGCUCAUCUAGUUUCAGUAGAUACUAAAUCCAGCUAAAUUCUUUGACAUAUAAUAUAGGUUAAGAUUCUUACUUAGAUCCUUUGAUGUUUAACUUAGUAAAUGCUUAUACAUAGUUCAAACAUUCUUUACUUAGAUUUAUUCACAUGGGUCGAAUAUCUCCAAUGGAGUCUUUCGUGUUUGAUUUAGUAAAUGCUAUUACUUAAUCCAAAACAUUAAUAUAAGAUCUUUGUAAACAGAUCUUAAUACCCAGUAUGUACUAAGUUUCGCCUUGGUCCAUCAUUGAUGAAUAAUUUCAAAUCUAAGUCAUUAGCAUUUGAAUGUUAUUUCACAAUAGAGAGAUAUGUGUGUGAUACAUAUAGGACCAAUUAAGUUUUUAUGUACUCCCACUAAACUUCUUAUACAUCUAUAAGAAUCAUGUACAUUUUAUGAAACUAAAAUGCUUAUUAGCUUCACUAAAAUACAGUUCCAAUUCCCAAUUGCUUGCUUAAAUCUGUACUUAGAUUUCAUAAGCUAGUAUUCCUUUUCAAGCAUUAUUUGGAUCCAAAAAUCCUAUGACAUGCCAUGUACAAUCUUACAUAAUCAUAAUCAUUCUUCUCCAUUACAUAAUCAUUCUGAAUCAAAUUUCAUUCCUAGAUUUCCUUGUACUUUGUUUGGUGAUUUUGGUUAUCAAUUUUACUCUACUAGAUUUUCUUGAAUUUACAGAAAAAAUCUCAAACGAAGGAGAACGAAAAUUACGGAGAAGGAGAACUCGCUGCUCUCUACCACGGCGAGUUUCCGAAUGCAGAUGCUUUCGAUGCCGCUGCUAUCAAGGAUUCUAAAUCUCAGUACCCGGAAGAGGUUGGAUGAACUUGUAGAUGAAGCUGGUGUGCCUCGUUAAAUGCAGGGGAAAUUCGAGCACGAGAUGGGGAUGCCUAAAGGUGUGUAGUUUUUGGAAUAAUUUGUUUCCAUUUAAUUGGUGUUUCGUUGUUUGUCUGGUUCGUUAGGUAAUUUAUUAAUGAAAGACCAUUUUGAAACUAGCUAAGCUUUGAGUGAGUGAGCCCACACUCAUAACUGACAUGAUAAGAGUUUUUUCUCAACUUUUUAAGAGGGGAAAGGGGAUAUGCACGAAGUUUAUCUAUCACUGUGUAUAAGCUGCUCACAGGGGAGCUCGUUCUUGCUUUAAGCUAUUGAUAGAAGUCCAGAAUGCACAAGGAUUCAAGGAUUGUAUUCCAUUAUAUUGUCUUCUAUAUUUGCAACUAAAAGCUUCUUGAUGGCUUUGUAAUACUGAAUAAUAGGAAGUCUGGUUGUGUAUGAUGUGUGUGUUGUUCAUGUGAAGUGAGACUAAGAUCGUGACUCUUUAUCCUUUACUUGUGAGAGAAUUCUGAAGCUAGCUAAGCUUUGGCAAGAAAAUCGAGUAUUUGUUAUCUAUUCAUUUAGGGUGGGUGUGUUGGGGGGGGGGGGGGGGGGGGGGGGGGGAUGCGUGGAAUUAAGCUAAUCACAUGGGAGUUGGUUCCUACUUUAUGCUAUUGGUAGAACUCUAGGAUGACGAGGAGUGGAGGAUUUUGCUCAAUUUGAUUGUCUUCUAUAUUUGCAACUGAAAGCUUCUUGUUUUUCUAAUGCUGAAUAAUAGGAAGUCUGAAGUCUUCUUAUGUAUGAUGUGUGUGUUCAUGUGAGGUAAUACAAAGGUUAUGACUCAUUACUCGAACUCGAUGUAUGAUAUGUCAGUUUUUCACUUGUGUCCAAGCGGCACUUUUGCCUUGUACUCAUUGCUAUGCCGGCAUGCAAACCUUGGUGUUCUUCAUACUAAUGAGAAGUUAUCUGCAAUAUAUCUAUUGAGGGAUCCGAGCAGACAGCAAGGAAUUCUGCCUUGAAGCUACCAUUUAAAAAGCAUGAAAUAUUUCAUAAAGUGUUGCUGAUCUUUGUGGUUUCCUGCAUCAUUUUGGUAGUCCUGCUUCCUCUCCAACAUCAUGGAACACAUAGGGUUUCUUUCAUGUUUGCACCAAUUGUUUUAGCAUGGCUCCUUUGUAUCAGCAACAUCGGUGUUUAUAAUAUUAUAAGGUGGUCAUUUUGUGUUUAUUGAUUUAGUCAGGUACUGAGUAUUGUUCAUCUGAUUGUUUUAAUUAGGAUAGAAAUGUUGAUGUAAUAUCUAGAUUGACUGAAUAUCAAUUGUUGGUUUGGCUUAGAAUGUGAUGGUGGCUUGGUGUUUAUUGCUAUAAUUAGACGGUGGGUGAUUUUUUUUUUGUAAAAUAAAUGUACUAUUUGCAGCGCGCAUCGUUGAGUGAAUGCUGCGAAUAGUGUUAGAAAUGUA